CCUACGGGAGGCAGCAGUGAGGAAUAUUGGUCAAUGGACGCAAGUCUGAACCAGCCAUGCCGCGUGCAGGAAGACGGCUCUAUGAGUUGUAAACUGCUUUUGUACGAGGGUAAACGCAGAUACGCGUAUCUGUCUGAAAGUAUCGUACGAAUAAGGAUCGGCUAACUCCGUGCCAGCAGCCGUGGCAAUACGGAGGAUUCAAGCGUUAUCCGGAUUUAUUGGGUUUAAAGGGUGCGGUGGCGGUCGGAUAAGUUAGAGGUGAAAUCCCGAGGCUCAAAUUCGGAAUUGCCUCUGAGACUGUUCGGCUAGAGAGUAGUUGCGGUAGGCGGAAUGUAUGGUGUAGCAGUGAAAUGCUUAGAGAUCAUACAGAACACCGAUUGCGAAGGCAGCUUACCAAGCUACUUCUGACGUUGAGGCACGAAAGCGUGGGGAGCAAACAGGAUUAGAUACCCGAGUAGUC
rnacentral:rRNA from 1 species